rnacentral:rRNA from 1 species
UCGAGGAUCUUCGGCAAUGGGCGCAAGCCUGACCGAGCGACGCCGCGUGCGGGAUGAAGGCCUUCGGGUUGUAAACCGCCGUCGGGAUGGAGGAAAUUCCAUAGGGUUCUCUCUAUGGAUUGACCUAUAUUCAGAGGAAGGACGGGCUAAGUUCGUGCCAGCAGCCGCGGUAAGACGAACCGUCCAAACGUUAUUCGGAUUCACUGGGCUUAAAGGGUGCGUAGGCGGCUCAGAAAGUAGGGUGUGAAAGCCCUCGGCUCAACCGAGGAAUUGCGCUCUAAACUACUGGGCUUGAGGAACGCAGAGGUAAGCGGAACUUACGGUGGAGCGGUGAAAUGCGUUGAUAUCGUAAGGAACACCAGGAGCGAAAGCGGCUUACUGGGCGUUUUCUGACGCUGAUGCACGAAAGCUAGGGGAGCGAACGGGAUUAGAUACCCCCGUAGUCC